UACGAAGGGUGCAAGCGUUACUCGGAAUUACUGGGCGUAAAGCGUGCGUAGGUGGUUCGUUAAGUCUGAUGUGAAAGCCCUGGGCUCAACCUGGGAAUGGCAUUGGAAACUGGCGACCUAGAGUGCGGUAGAGGGUAGUGGAAUUCCCGGUGUAGCAGUGAAAUGCGUAGAGAUCGGGAGGAACACCAGUGGCGAAGGCGGAACUCUGGGCCGGAACUGACGCUGAGGAGCGAAAGCGUGGGGAGCGAACAGG
rnacentral:rRNA from 1 species